CGAGCGCGCCCUUCGGGGUGAGCGGCGGACGGGUUAGUAACGCGUGGGAACGUACCCAGAUCUAAGGAAUAGCCACUGGAAACGGUGAGUAAUACCUUAUACGCCCUUCGGGGGAAAGAUUUAUCGGAUUUGGAUCGGCCCGCGUUAGAUUAGAUAGUUGGUGGGGUAACGGCCUACCAAGUCUACGAUCUAUAGCUGGUUUUAGAGGAUGAUCAGCAACACUGGGACUGAGACACGGCCCAGACUCCUACGGGAGGCAGCAGUGGGGAAUCUUGGACAAUGGGCGCAAGCCUGAUCCAGCCAUGCCGCGUGAGUGAUGAAGGCCUUAGGGUCGUAAAGCUCUUUCGCCAGGGAUGAUAAUGACAGUACCUGGUAAAGAAACCCCGGCUAACUCCGUGCCAGCAGCCGCGGUAAUACGGAGGGGGUUAGCGUUGUUCGGAAUUACUGGGCGUAAAGCGCGCGUAGGCGGGUUGUUAAGUUAGAGGUGAAAUCCCGGGGCUCAACCCCGGAACUGCCUUUAAUACUGGCAACCUAGAGUUCGAGAGAGGUGAGUGGAAUUCCGAGUGUAGAGGUGAAAUUCGUAGAUAUUCGGAGGAACACCAGUGGCGAAGGCGGCUCACUGGCU
rnacentral:rRNA from 1 species